rnacentral:rRNA from 1 species
UACGAAGGGAGCGAGCGUUGUUCGGAAUCACUGGGCGUAAAGCGUGCGUAGGCGGUUAUACAAGUCAGAAGUGAAAGCCCAGGGCUCAACCUUGGAAUUGCUUUUGAAACUGUAUAACUAGAGUCCCGGAGGGGUUAAUGGAAUUCCGAGUGUAGAGGUGAAAUUCGCAGAUAUUCGGAGGAACACCAGUGGCGAAGGCAGCUUGCUGGGGACUUAUUGACGCUGAGGCUCGAAAGUGUGGGUAGCAAACAGG